rnacentral:sRNA from 7 species
UUGACAGCCCUGAAUACUGAUGGCCUCUUUAUCUACAGAGCAGAUACAACCCAGGCACUGGCAGCACAAGCUUCCACCAUGCUGCCCUGCCAACAUGCCUCUACCCCUAGCCUGGAGAGCCCACCUCUGGGUCUGAUGGAGGAGAGUAGUUUCUGCGGUCCAUUCAGUCUUUCACUCCU